rnacentral:rRNA from 1 species
GAUGAACGCUGGCGGCGUGCCUAAUACAUGCAAGUCGAGCGAACAGACGAGGAGCUUGCUCCUCUGACGUUAGCGGCGGACGGGUGAGUAACACGUGGAUAACCUACCUAUAAGACUGGGAUAACUUCGGGAAACCGGAGCUAAUACCGGAUAAUAUAUUGAACCGCAUGGUUCAAUAGUGAAAGACGGUUUUGCUGUCACUUAUAGAUGGAUCCGCGCCGCAUUAGCUAGUUGGUAAGGUAACGGCUUACCAAGGCAACGAUGCGUAGCCGACCUGAGAGGGUGAUCGGCCACACUGGAACUGAGACACGGUCCAGACUCCGACGGGAGGCAGCAGUAGAGAAUCUUCCGCGAUGGGCGAAAGCCUGACAGAGCAACGCCGCGUGAGUGAUGAAGGUCUUCGGAUCGUAAAACUCUGUUAUUAGGGAAGAACAAAUGUGUAAGUAACUAUGCACGUCUUGACGGUACCUAAUCAGAAAGCCACGGCUAACUACGUG